CUAUUUUCCUGGCAGGGAGACAUCACCUAAAGGAAGGCAGAUUUCCCAGGGUGAAGCGCAUUCAUUGAAUUCCAGGUAUGCUGAUCCCUGAAAUUUCCUCAAGUAGGAAACUGCAAAAUUUAACCUAAGGAGAACUGUCUUUAUAAUUUUUCC
rnacentral:snRNA from 1 species